rnacentral:rRNA from 1 species
GACGAACGCUGGCGGCGUGCUUAACACAUGCAAGUCGAACGGAAAGGCCCUUCGGGGUACUCGAGUGGCGAACGGGUGAGUAACACGUGGGUGAUCUGCCUCGUACUUUGGGAUAAGCCUGGGAAACUGGGUCUAAUACCGAAUAUGACCUUCCCUCGCAUGGGGGUUGGUGGAAACUUUUUGGGUACGAGAUGGGCCCGCGGCCUAUCAGCUUGUUGGUGGGGUAAUGGCCUACCAAGGCGACGACGGGUAGCCGGCCUGAGAGGGCGACCGGCCACACUGGGACUGAGACACGGCCCAGACUCCUGCGGGAGGCAGCAGUGGGGAAUAUUGCACAAUGGGCGCAAGCCUGAUGCAGCGACGCCGCGUGAGGGAUGACGGCCUUCGGGUUGUAAACCUCUUUCACCAGGGACGAAGAGAAAUUGACGGUACCUGGAGAAGAAGCACCGGCCAACUACGUGCCAGCAGCCGCGGUAAUACGUAGGGUGCGAGCGUUGUCCGGAAUUACUGGGCGUAAAGAGCUCGUAAGCGGUUUGUCGCGUCGUUCGUGAAUCUUGAUGCUUAUUAUCAGCGUGCGGGCGAUACGGGCAGACUUGAGUACUACAGGGGAGACUGGAACUCCUGGUGUAGCGGUGAAAUGCGCAGAUAUCAGGAGGAACACCGGUGGCGAAGGCGGGUCUCUGGGUAGUAACUGACGCUGAGGAGCGAAAGCGUGGGUAGCGAACAGGAUUAGAUACCCUGGUAGUCCACGCCGUAAACGGUGGGUACUAGGUGUGGGUCCCUUUUCACGGGAUCCGUGCCGUAGCUAACGCAUUAAGUACCCCGCCUGGGGAGUACGGCCGCAAGGCUAAAACUCAAAGGAAUUGACGGGGGCCCGCACAAGCGGCGGAGCAUGUGGAUUAAUUCGAUGCAACGCGAAGAACCUUACCUGGGUUUGACAUACACCAGAAAGCUGUAGAGAUACAGCCCCCCUUGUGGUUGGUGUACAGGUGGUGCAUGGCUGUCGUCAGCUCGUGUCGUGAGAUGUUGGGUUAAGUCCCGCAACGAGCGCAACCCUUGUCCUGUGUUGCCAGCACGUAAUGGUGGGGACUCGCAGGAGACUGCCGGGGUCAACUCGGAGGAAGGUGGGGAUGACGUCAAGUCAUCAUGCCCCUUAUGUCCAGGGCUUCACACAUGCUACAAUGGCCGGUACAGAGGGCUGCGAUACCGUGAGGUGGAGCGAAUCCCUUAAAGCCGGUCUCAGUUCGGAUCGGGGUCUGCAACUCGACCCCGUGAAGUCGGAGUCGCUAGUAAUCGCAGAUCAGCAACGCUGCGGUGAAUACGUUCCCGGGCCU